GUUGCUCUGUUUGCAAAAUUGAGCUACUUUGUGUCCCGCGCGACGUUGUCGCUGUGUGUCUAUUUGAACGGUCAAAGCUCUUUCACCGUUCAAUUAGACAUAACGCGAAUAUGUCGCGCACGAAGACAUCUCGCGCGACCAAAAUUAGCUCAAUGUUGCUAACAGUUAUUUGUCUCACGCGAAAUUUUUGUUUAAUCGAGCGUUCCAAGAAAUAUUAUUAAAAAGUAAAAGAAACUUUUUUGACCUCAUUUUAGCGAUUAAAAUGGAUUUUUUCAACAUCAUUAUGUCGACGCCGGUCAGCUGUUGCUUGUCAUAAACAACAUAAAUAAGAUUGCAGAAGCUGAAACUAACGCUUCAAGUUUUCUUUAUCCUACCACGUUCCAUCGUUAAUAGAAUACGACUUCCUUGUUGACCUGUUCAAUGUUGAGAUUGAAAUUGCAGUCACAGUUUCUGGGGACGAGGGUUUAUGCCGUCUAGCAGCAGCAUUGUUAAAAAGGGUUAGAAAUUAUGCAGUCCUGAACGCGACCCUACUGCGAUGUGUGGGAAGCGGCGAGGCUCCAUGCCGAUUCCCCAAAUAGCCAGAAUUGAUUAAGCAGCUCAUUUUGGCACGCUAAAGAUCGCUGCUCUAAUUCGCCUUUUGCAGUAGAUAAACAGCUUCAAAGUUCCAGGCGGUCCUUCUAAAUAGCGCCUAAGCAGCUUCCAUAAGCUACGGUGCCGGGGAUUAUUUUUCUUUGUGUUUUAUUUUCAAGCAAGCGUCAUCGAUGAAAUAAACAACAGGAUUUGUUUUGUUUGUGUA